GUGCCAGCAGUCGCGGUAAUACGAAGGGGGCUAGCGUUGUCCGGAAUCAUUGGGCGUAAAGCGCGUGUAGGCGGCUCACUAAGUCCGCUCUGAAAGCCCGGGGCUCAACCCCGGGAGGCGGGUGGAUACUGGUGAGCUUGAGUCCGGAAGAGGCGAGUGGAAUUCCUGGUGUAGCGGUGAAAUGCGCAGAUAUCAGGAGGAACACCAAUGGCGAAAGCACUCUGCUGGGCCGACACUGACACUGAGAGACGAAAGCUAGGGGAGCAAAUGGGAUUAGAUACCCCUGUAGUCC
rnacentral:rRNA from 1 species